rnacentral:rRNA from 1 species
AUGAAGUACAUGAAGCUUGGGUCAAAGCCUGACACAUUCUACACCGAACAAGCCGUCAGGUCAGUAGUGUCAGACAUACCUGCUGAUCUUAUCAUACAUGUCAACAAUACAAAGUAUCAACUGCACAAGUUCCCCCUGCUGCUCAAGUGCGGCCUCCUGCAGCGCCUCUGCUCCGACACGGAGGCCGACGAGCAGCUACCGGUGCCGGUGGCGCUCCACGACAUACCGGGCGGCGAGGAGGCCUUCGAGAUCUGCGCCAAGUUCUGCUACGGCAUCGCCAUCAGCAUCAGCGCCAGCAACUUCGUACCGGCGACGCUGGCGGCGCGGUUCCUCCGGAUGACGGAGCACGUCGCCAAGGGCAACCUCGUCUCCAAGCUCGACACCUUCUUCGAGUCCUGCGUCCUCCACGGCUGGAGGGACUCCAUUGCCGCGCUGCAGGCGGCGUGGCGGAUCUCCGGCUGGUCCGAGAGCCGCAUCGUCCAGCCAUGCGUCGACUCCAUUGUCGAGAAGAUCCUCCUCCCGCCCUCCCAGGUCGCGUGGUCGUACACGUACACGAGGCCGGGCUACGCCAAGAGGCCCCACCAGUCGGUGCCCAAGGACUGGUGGACGGAGGACAUCUCCGAGCUGGACAUCGAGGUGUUCCGCUCGGUCGUCUCCACCGUGCGCGCCACGCGCAUGCUCCCGUCGCCGCUCAUCGGCGAGGCCCUGCACGUCUACGCCUGCAAGCACCUCCCGGACCCGCUCUACACCGGCGGAACCGCCAACGGGCACGCGUCUCAGAGUCAGAGCUCCUCCUUCACGGCGGCGGCCGCGGCGGCUGAGGAGGCGCUCGCCAAGCAGAGGCGCGUGCUGGAGACCGUCGUCACCAUGAUCCCCGGCGACGCGGGGUCGGUCACGGGACGGUUCCUCCUCCGGCUGCUGCGUGUGGCGAACUACGUCGGCGCGUCGUCGUCGACGCGCGCGCAGCUGAUCCGGCAGGCCGGGUCCCAGCUCGACGAGGCCAAGGCGGUGGACCUGCUCAUCCCGCUGCCGUCGGAACCGCAGGCGUACGACGUCGGCGCGGCGGAGGCCGUGCUGGAGCACUUCUUGGCGCAGUUCCAGCGGCCGGCGGCUCCCGACGAGCGCCGGAGGAUGAGCGUCGCCAUGGAGAAGGUGGUCAGAAUCUUCGACGAAUACCUUAAGACGAUCGCCCUCGACAGUGAGUUUCCCAUCGGCAAGUUCAUCGACCUGGCCGAGUGCCUGCCCGGCAUCGCCCGGAGCGACCACGACGGCCUCUACCGCGCCGUCGACACCUACCUCAAGGAACACCCGGACCUGAGCAAGGCGGACAGGAAGCGGCUGUGCCGGUUGAUCGACUGCCGGAAGCUAUCGCCGGACGUGCGGGCUCAGGCGGUAUCCAAUGAUCGGAUGCCGUUGCGGACCAUCGUGCAGCUUCUAUUCGUUGAGCAGGAGAGAACAACCGGCGCGGGCGGCAGCCAUAGCGUCGCGCCACCGGACCGGGCCUCAGUCGAUGCCGUCUCCAGGCUCACGGCAACAGGCAGAGAGGACGAAGCGGCGGCCAUGGACCACAGGUCGGAUGUGCACCGGCCGCGGCGGGGCGGCCAUGAAGGGCGCGCCCAGGGCGAGGCGGCUGCAAUGACCAGGUCGCUAUCGGCGUCGACGAAGACGGCGGCGAGGAAGGGCAGGACGGCGGAAGAGAGGGGGAGCAGGCUGAGGAACAAGUGA